CCGUUGUGCUCUUGAGCAACGCACUUAACCUCAAGUUGCUCCGGGGACAAUGUGAUCCCUUGUAAUAUAGCUGACAUAUACAAGCAUAUAAGGAUGACAAG